CCAAUAGCGUAUAUUAAAGUUGUUGCAGUUAAAAAGCUCGUAGUUGAAUUUCGGGAUCGACGGGUCGGUCGCGCCUCUGGUGUGUACUGGCCCUGUCGGUUUCUCCCUUCUGACGAACCACGAUGUCAUUAAUUUGGUGUCGUGGGAAAUCAGGACUGUUACUUUGAAAAAAUUAGAGUGUUUAAAGCAAGCAUUCGCUUGAAUACAUUAGCAUGGAAUAAUGAAAUAGGACGUUUGAUCUUAUUUUGUUGGUUUCUAAGAUCGACGUAAUGAUUAAUAGGGAUAGUUGGGGGCAUUAGUAUUCAAUUGUCAGAGGUGAAAUUCUUGGAUUUAUUGAAGACUAACUACUGCGAAAGCAUUUGCCAAGGAUGUUUUCAUUAAUCAAGAACGAAAGUUAGGGGAUCGAAGACGAUCAGAUACCGUCGUAGUCUUAACCAUAAACUAUGCCGACUAGGGAUCGGAUGAUGUUAAUUUUUUAAUGACUCAUUCGGCGCCUUACG
rnacentral:rRNA from 1 species